rnacentral:rRNA from 1 species
CGUGUAGGCGGUUUAGUAAGUCAAGUGUGAAAUCCCUCGGCUUAACCGAGGAACUGCGCUUGAUACUGCUAAACUCGAGUACGGGAGAGGGUAGCGGAAUUCCCGGUGUAGAGGUGAAAUUCGUAGAUAUCGGGAGGAACACCAGUGGCGAAGGCGGCUACCUGGACCGAUACUGACGCUGAGACGCGAAAGCGUGGGGAGCAAACAGGAUUAGAUACCCUGGUAGUCC